CCUACGGGGGGCUGCAGUGGGGAAUAUUGGACAAUGGGCGCAAGCCUGAUCCAGCCAUGCCGCGUGAGUGAAGAAGGCCUUCGGGUUGUAAAGCUCUUUUGUCCGGAAAGAAAAGCGCAGGGUGAAUACCCCUGUGUUCUGACGGUACCGGAAGAAUAAGCACCGGCUAACUUCGUGCCAGCAGCCGCGGUAAUACGAAGGGUGCAAGCGUUACUCGGAAUUACUGGGCGUAAAGCGUGCGUAGGUGGUUCGUUAAGUCUGAUGUGAAAGCCCUG
rnacentral:rRNA from 1 species